rnacentral:rRNA from 1 species
AGUGAACGCUGGCGGUAGGCCUAACACAUGCAAGCCGAACGGCAGCACAGUAAGAGCUUGCUCUUACGGGUGGCGAGUGGCGGACGGGUGAGGAAUACAUCGGAAUCUACUUUUUCGUGGGGGAUAACGUAGGGAAACUUACGCUAAUACCGCAUACGACCUACGGGUGAAAGCAGGGGAUCUUCGGACCUUGCGCGAUUGAAUGAGCCGAUGUCGGAUUAGCUAGUUGGCGGGGUAAAGGCCCACCAAGGCGACGAUCCGUAGCUGGUCUGAGAGGAUGAUCAGCCACACUGUAACUGAGACACGGUCCAGACUCCUACGGGAGGCAGCAGUGGGGAAUAUUGGACAAUGGGCGCAAGCCUGAUCCAGCCAUACCGCGUGGGUGAAGAAGGCCUUCGGGUUGUAAAGCCCUUUUGUUGGGAAAGAAAAGCAGCAGGUUAAUACCCCGCUGUUCUGACGGUACCCAAAGAAUAAGCACCGGCUAACUUCGUG